AUGUCAAUUUUGUACAUGCAUUGUUACAUUUUCAUUGUAAACUCAUGGAUCUUAGGCAUUUUAAUGGUCUGCUGUAGAGAGAAUGACUUAGGUCUUUAUUCCCUUGUCCUUCUUCCAUUUUGUUUACAGCCAAACAAGUUUAAUAAGCGACAUCACGUGAGCUUUUUCGUAUUUGAAAUUUCUAACAAGCUAGUUUUGGAAUUACAUGUGCAGGCUUAA